rnacentral:rRNA from 1 species
UGGGAACGUGCCUUUUGGUUCGGAACAACACAGGGAAACUUGUGCUAAUACCGGAUAAGCCCUUACGGGGAAAGAUUUAUCGCCAAAAGAUCGGCCCGCGUCUGAUUAGCUAGUUGGUGAGGUAACGGCUCACCAAGGCGACGAUCAGUAGCUGGUCUGAGAGGAUGAUCAGCCACACUGGGACUGAGACACGGCCCAGACUCCUACGGGAGGCAG